GGGCCCGCACAAGCAGUGGAUUAUGUGGUUUAAUUCGAAGCAACGCGAAGAACCUUACCAGGGCUUGACAUGGAGAUGACCGCACUAGAGAUAGUGUUUUCCCUUCGGGGACAUCUCACACAGGUGGUGCAUGGUUGUCGUCAGCUCGUGUCGUGAGAUGUUGGGUUAAGUCCCGCAACGAGCGCAACCCUUAUUGCUAGUUGCUACGCAAGAGCACUCUAGCGAGACUGCCGUUGACAAAACGGAGGAAGGUGGGGACGACGUCAAAUCAUCAUGCCCCUUAUGUCCUGGGCUACACACGUAAUACAAUGGCAUUUAACAGAGGGAAGCGAAGGAGCGAUCUGGAGCAAAUCCCUAAAAGGUGUCUCAGUUCGGAUUGCAGGCUGCAACUCGCCUGUAUGAAGUCGGAAUUGCUAGUAAUCGCGGAUCAGCACGCCGCGGUGAAUACGUUCCCGGGCCUU
rnacentral:rRNA from 1 species